UACAUACAUACAUAUGUACGUACAUAUAUGUAUAUCAUAUAGGUAAGUUGUUGUGCACGCUUGGCUGUUCUGUUGCCGCCAGUUG